rnacentral:rRNA from 1 species
AUUGAACGCUGGCGGCAGGCUUAACACAUGCAAGUCGAGCGGAAACGAUGGUAGCUUGCUACCAGGCGUCGAGCGGCGGACGGGUGAGUAAUACUUAGGAAUCUACCUAGUAGUGGGGGAUAGCUCGGGGAAACUCGAAUUAAUACCGCAUACGACCUACGGGAGAAAGGGGGCAACUUGUUGCUCUCGCUAUUAGAUGAGCCUAAGUCGGAUUAGCUAGAUGGUGGGGUAAAGGCCUACCAUGGCGACGAUCUGUAGCUGGUCUGAGAGGAUGAUCAGCCACACCGGGACUGAGACACGGCCCGGACUCCUACGGGAGGCAGCAGUGGGGAAUAUUGGACAAUGGGGGCAACCCUGAUCCAGCCAUGCCGCGUGUGUGAAGAAGGCCUUUUGGUUGUAAAGCACUUUAAGCAGUGAAGAAGACUCCAUGGUUAAUACCCAUGGACGAUGACAUUAGCUGCAGAAUAAGCACCGGCUAACUCUGUGCCAGCAGCCGCGGUAAUACAGAGGGUGCAAGCGUUAAUCGGAAUUACUGGGCGUAAAGCGAGCGUAGGUGGCUUGAUAAGUCAGAUGUGAAAUCCCCGGGCUUAACCUGGGAACUGCAUCUGAUACUGUUAGGCUAGAAUAGGUGAGAGGAAGGUAGAAUUCCAGGUGUAGCGGUGAAAUGCGUAGAGAUCUGGAGGAAUACCGAUGGCGAAGGCAGCCUUCUGGCAUCAUAUUGACACUGAGGUUCGAAAGCGUGGGUAGCAAACAGG